rnacentral:rRNA from 1 species
UACGGAGGGUGCGAGCGUUGUCCGGAAUCAUUGGGCGUAAAGGGCGCGUAGGUGGCCCGGUCAGUUCGUGGUGAAAGCGCGGGGCUCAACCCCUGCGUCGGCCCAUGAAUACUGCCGCGGCUGGAGCACUGUAGAGGCAGGCGGAAUUCCAGGUGUAGCGGUGAAAUGCGUAGAUAUCUGGAGGAAUACCGGUGGCGAAGGCGGCAAUCCGUGGCCGACAUUGACGCUGAACGGCGAAAGCUAGGGA